AUAUGAUGAAGUAAGUAAGGGCGUACGGUGAAUGCCUUGGUGCCAACAGGCGAAGAAGGACGCGGCAAGCUGCGAAAAGCCUCGGGAAGCUGCAAGCAAGCGAUGAUCCGGGGAUAUCCGAAUGGGGUAACCUGAUCGAGGCAAUACUCGAUCGUUCAUACCUGAAUACAUAGGGUAUGAAACGCGAAACCCGCUGAAGUGAAACAUCUCAGUAAGCGGAGGAAAAGAAAGAGAAAUCGAUUCCGUAAGUAGUGGCGAGCGAAAGCGGAUGGAGCCCAAACCGAAGGUAUUCCUUCGGGGUUGUAGGACCACGUCAUAUUCGACCAUACUGGAUAGUAGAACAGCCUGGAAAGGCUGGCCGGAGAAGGUGAAAGCCCUGUAGACGAAAUCCAGAGUGGGAAUUAGUGGUAUCCUGAGUAAUACAUCACACGUGGAACGAUGUAUGAACCCGCGCGGACCACCGCGCAAGGCUAAAUACUAGUUGGCGACCGAUAGUGAACAAGUACCGCGAGGGAAAGGUGAAAAGAACCGCUGUGAGCGGAGUGAAAUAGAACCUGAAACCGUAUGUCUACAAAGUGUCAGAGCAGAGCAAUCUGCGAUGGCGUGCCUUUUGUUUAAUGAGUCUGCGAGUCAGUGUUUGUGGCAAGACUAAGGGCUUCCGGCCCGGAGUCGCAGCGAAAGCAAGUCCGAACAGGGCGCAAUAAGUCGCAGGUACUGGACCCGAAGCGGAGGUGACCUACCCUUGGCCAGGUUGAAGCAUGGGUAAAACCAUGUGGAGGACCGAACAGGUGAACGUUGAAAAGUUCUCUGAUGAGCUGAGGGUAGGAGUGAAAGGCUAAUCAAACCCCGUGAUAGCUGGUUCUCUUCGAAAUGCAUUUAGGUGCAGCGUCACGUGCUGAUGCGCGGGGGUAGAGCACUGACAAGGCUAGGGGGCACACCCGCUUACCAAACCUUAUCAAACUCCGAAUACCGUGCAAUGGAACGUGGCAGUGAGACAGUGGGGGAUAAGCUUCAUUGUCGAGAGGGAAACAACCCAGACCAGCAGCUAAGGUGCCUAAAUAACGCUCAGUGGAAAGGAUGUGGGAUUACACAGACAGUGAGGAUGUUGGCUUAGAAGCAGCCACCAUUUAAAAAAUGCGUAAUAGCUUACUCAUCGAGUGAUCCUGCGCCGAAAAUGAUUGGCGAUCAAGCGUUAUACCGAAGCUCUGGACUUUGCCGCAAGGCAGAGUGGUAGAAGAGCGUUGCAUGCGCGUCGAAGGGCGAUGGCGACUGACCCUGGAGCACAUGCAAGUGAGUAUGCAGACAUGAGUAACGUUAAGCCGGGUGAAAUCCCCGGCCGCCGUAAACCCGAGGUUUCCAGGGCAACGUGUUUCGUCCCUGGGUUAGCCGGGACCUAAGCCGAGGCCGAGAGGCGUAGGCGAUGGACAUCAGGUUAAUAAUCCUGAGCUCGCAACCCUUAAACUGGGGGGACGCAUGAGAAAAGAUGACUAGGUUAUUGAAUUCCGAGUUGAGUCCACGGACUCAGCGCAUCAUUGGAUCGAGUGCCAAGAAAAGCCCCAGCGUAUGCUAAGCGACCCGUACCGCAAACCGACACAGGUGGGUGGGUAGAAUAUACCAAGGCGUAAGAGUGAAACCUGGUUAAGGAACUCGGCAAAUUAGCCCCGUAACUUCGGAAGAAGGGGUGCCUGCAGCGAUGCAGGCCGCAGAGAAAUGGCCCAACCGACUGUUUAUCAAAAACACAGCACUCUGCAAAGACGCAAGUCGAAGUAUAGGGUGUGACACGUGACCAAUGCCGAAAGAUUAAGGCAAGGGGUUAGCCGCAAGGCGAAGCUCUAAACCCAAGUCCCGGUGAAUGUCGGCCGUAACUAUAACGGUCCUAAGGUAGCGAAAUUCCUUGUCGGGUAAGUUCCGACCUGCACGAAUCGUGAAACGAGUUGGGCACUGUCUCAACCAGGCGCUCAGUGAAAUUGUAGUGGCGGUGAAGAUGCCGCCUACCCGCAGAAGGACGGAGAGACCCUAUAGACCUUAACUGUAAGCUGUCAUUGUUUCUUCGGUUUUAAUGCUCAGAGUAAGUGGGAGACGCUGAAGACGCCCUUUAGGGGGCGUCCGAGUCAUCAAUGAGACACCACCCUUUGAAACUGGAGGAUCUAACCCUGAGCCGUGAAUCCGGCCAGAGGACCGUGUCAGCCGGUCAGUUUUACUGGGGCGGUAUCCUCCCAAAGAGUAACGGAGGAGCGCGAAGGUGGGCUCAGCCCGGUUGGCAACCGGGUGUCGAGUGCAUGGGCAUAAGCCCGCCUAACUGUGAGACCAACAAGUCGAGCAGAUGCGAAAGCAGGCCCAAGUGAUCCGGCGGUAGAAAGUGGAAUUGCCGUCGCUCAACGGAUAAAAGGUACCUUAGGGAUAACAGGCUGAUCACGCCCAAGAGUUCAUAUCGACGGCGUGGUUUGGCACCUCGAUGUCGGCUCGUCGCAUCCUGGGGCUGGAGAAGGUCCCAAGGGUCCGGCUGUUCGCCGGUUAAAGCGGCACGCGAGCUGGGUUCAGAACGUCGCGAGACAGUUCGGUCCUCUAUCCUCUGUGGGCGUUGGAAAAUUGAGGGGUUCAGACCUUAGUACGAGAGGACCGGGUCUGACGCACCACUGGUGCAUCGGUUGUACUGUCAAGUGCAUGGCCGAGUAGCUAAGUGCGGACGGGAUAAGCGCUGAAAGCAUCUAAGCGCCAAGCCCUUCCCAAGAUGAGUUUUCCCUACAGGUUCGUGGAAGACCACCACGUUGAUAGGUCGCAGGUGUAAGUGCAGCAAUGUAUUGAGCCGAGCGAUACUAAUUACCAAUUGACUUCAUCAUAUUACAU
rnacentral:rRNA from 1 species